CCUACGGGCGGCAGCAGUGAGGAAUAUUGGUCAAUGGUCGGGAGACUGAACCAGCCAAGCCGCGUGAGGGAUGAAGGUACAGAGUAUCGUAAACCUCUUUUGUCAGGGAACAAAUGCGGGGACGUGUCCCCGGAUGAGUGUACCUGAAGAAAAAGCAUCGGCUAACUCCGUGCCAGCAGCCGCGGUAAUACGGAGGAUGCGAGCGUUAUCCGGAUUUAUUGGGUUAAAGGGGUGCGCAGGCGGUCCGUGAAGUCAGCGGUAAAAGCCCGGGGCGAAACCCCGGCCCGCCGUUGAAACUGGCAGUCUCGAGUUGGAGAGAAGUAUGCGGAAUGCGCGGUGUAGCGGUGAAAUGCAUAGAUAUCGCGCAGAACUCCGAUUGCGAAGGCAGCAUGCCGGCUCCACACUGACGCUGAGGCACGAAAGCGUGGGUAUCGAACAGGAUUAGAUACCCUGGUAGUC
rnacentral:rRNA from 1 species